AUUGAACGCUGGCGGAAUGCUUUACACAUGCAAGUCGAGCGGCAGCGCGGGGGCAACCCUGGCGGCGAGCGGCGAACGGGUGAGUAACAUAUCGGAACGUACCCAUGAGUGGGGGAUAACACAUCGAAAGAUGUGCUAAUACCGCAUACGCCCUGAGGGGGAAAGCGGGGGAUCGCAAGACCUCGCGCUGAUGGAGCGGCCGAUAUCGGAUUAGCUAGUUGGUGGGGUAAAGGCCUACCAAGGCGACGAUCCCUAGCUGGUCUGAGAGGAUGAUCAGCCACACUGGAGCUGAGACUCGGUCCAGACUCCUACGGGCGGCAGCAGUGGGGAAUAUUGGACAAUGGGCGCAAGCCUGAUCCAGCCAUACCGCGUGGGUGAAGAAGGCCUUCGGGUUGUAAAGCCCUUUUGUUGGGAAAGAAAUCCAGCUGGCUAAUACCCGGUUGGGAUGACGGUACCCAAAGAAUAAGCACCGGCUAACUUCGUGCCAGCCGCCGCUGUAA
rnacentral:rRNA from 1 species